CCGUGGCUGCUGACGGACUGACAGUUGCUGUAGCGCUUCUUGACGAUCAUGCUGAUGUAGGCCUUCAUCAGCUUGGCGAUGUCCAUGACCUAUGGAGGAGGAGGAGUUCAUGAUGUUUCAGGAUUAAAGGCGUUGGGCUGCGGCGCUCCAAAGGAGAGAAUCUGCUCGUAUGGGAAAACCUCCAGAGGCCACGGCUCCCCUCGUUUGUACACUGAUAUGGCCUCCCUGCUCACACCCAGCCACAGCUCGGAGGGGAACGCUCCGUCCCGACACUGAAAACAACACAUGAGAGGUCUGCUGAUGAAGACUGACAGUGUGGAUCCGUAUCCCUGCCACUCCUUCACCACCGUCAUGUAUUUGACCAUGGCCUGCUCCUGGUUCAUGCCCUGCAGUUUCUUCCAC